UAAAAUACUCUGAAUUUGGCCAAAAUUCAUGUCCUCUCUCUUUCUCUCUCUCUCCUCUUCAUUGUUUUCAAAAUGGAAUAUUUUCUUUGCUUUUGUCCCUUUAUAGUUCCUCUUCACCAUGUAUUUACUAGGAUCCCCUUUUCUUUUUCCAUAGGGUUUUUUCUUAAAAAGAGUAAAUGAGGGUGUAUUUAUAAUGCUCAAUUGGAUGUUUCUGCUUCUAUUGACUGAGUAUUUAUAAUGUUUCAAUUAGCUCCUAUGCAUUAAUAGAGUUUUUAGUUCUUUAAUUGCAGAUAAAAAUAGCAUUGGGAACAGUAGUUAUCAUUGUUGUGAUUGGCUGUAUAUGGUGUUUGUUUCUCUUCAAUUGACUGUGGUGUUUUUUGUUGGGCUCGCUUGUCGAGUUUCAUCAUAAUUUCCUGAAUACUAUAUGGUUAAAUUUUGUGAGAAUUCCUGGAAUUUGUUGACCUUAAUAGGACACUUCUCUAAUUUGAGAUGCAUUUUUCUUGUUAUAUUUGAAGGAGUGUGGUUAGUCCUCUUGCUUGAUGGUUUCUUAUCUCUCUCUCUAGCUAUGGAUGUUGCUGGAAAAAGAUGCUAGUGUUCAGCCUUGUAACGCAAAUGAUAAUUCCUUAAACUACUUCUCACCUAAUAUGGUUGCAGAGUUAAAGUUAGUGGAAAUAAUUUAACUAACCUAUCUAUUGGGAUAAUGUCUCUCUGCAAUUCAAUGGUGGAGAUGGUGCAUUCCUUUUGCCAUCCAGUUUGCGACCAUUCAAUAAAUGAAUAGAAAUUUAGCAGUUCGGGUAACCUUGGUUCCGUGAGGGCUGAUUUGAGUUGGAAUCCGAGGAGAUAUGUUCCGGCUGCCCUUUAGUGGAGGGAAUUUCGGUGAAAUGAUGAGUUCGUUCUCUCGAGGCUCUGGGGUGGUUCACUCGCAUUCGCAAAGGCAUGAAAUUAAUGUGGUUGAGCUAUCCAAAGAGAAGUGAAAGGAUAUGUGAUCCUAUCAGACGGAAUAGCACCGAUUUCUUAGGAAAAUUCAAGACAAGUCUCCCAGCAAGAGGCUAGGUUUUUUGAACGUGAGAUUGGGAUUUAUUUCUUUAAUUCUCAAGCGAAAGAACUACGUAGGGCCAAGCCCCCCACGCCAGCGGGGGCUUGGCCUACACCGGACCCUGACCUCGCCUUAUACCUCGAUCUCCGACUGAUCUCCGCUCCAGAUUAAGCCCUGCACUUCAACCGUCUAGUCUCCGGGGAAUCUGCCAGCGCCACUGCUAAUUCUGUGAAAUUGAAAAAUUGUUGGAGAAGAUUAGACUUGGACUUAUAAGUUUUGGGUCAUUUAUAUAAUUGUUCGACUACUUUUAAUUUUUUGCUAUAAUAAACGAAUGAUGCCCUUGACAUAAUUAGCCGAUGUGUAUGUAAAUGUUUACAAUUUAAUCAAAUAAAAUAAUCUUUAAGUGCA